rnacentral:rRNA from 1 species
AAAAACAUGGCUCUUUGCAUAAAUAAAAAGUCUUGCCUGCCCACUGGAGGUAAUAAAGGGCUGCGGUAAUUUGACCGUGCGAAGGUAGCAUAAUCAGUAGUCUUUUAAUUGAAGACUGGAAUGAAUGGCGUUACGAAAAAUAAGCUGUCUUAGUUAUAUAUAUUGAAUUUUACUUUUAAGUGAAAAGGCUUAGUUGGAAUUGAGUGACGAUAAGACCCUAUAAAACUUAACAUUAUUGCAUGGCUUUGAAACUAAGGUGUAAGCGGAGUCAAAGGAAUGUUGUUUGGCUGGGGCGGCCUAGAUAUAAAAAGUAACUGUCUACAGAUUUAAAUAGUUGUAGCUUGUAUAAUGAACCUCUAUUAGAGAUUAAUAAACUAAGUUACUUUAGGGAUAACAGCGUAAUUUUUUCAGAGAGUUCUUAUCGAAGAAAGUAGUUGCGACCUCGAUGUUGAAUUAAAGUUUCUUUUAAAUGUAGCAGUUUAAAAAGUGGGUCUGUUCGACCCUUAAAAUUUUACAUGAUUUGAGUUCAAACCGGUGUGAGCCAGAUUUUUUUCCAUUCUUAA